rnacentral:rRNA from 1 species
UACGUAGGGUGCAAGCGUUGUCCGGAAUUAUUGGGCGUAAAGAGCUCGUAGGCGGUUUGUCGCGUCUGCUGUGAAAACUCAGGGCUUAACCCUGAGCCUGCAGUGGGUACGGGCAGACUAGAGUGUGGUAGGGGAGAUCGGAAUUCCUGGUGUAGCGGUGGAAUGCGCAGAUAUCAGGAGGAACACCGGUGGCGAAGGCGGCCAUCUGGACCGCAACUGACGCUGAGGCGCGAAAGCGUGGGGAGCAAACAGG